UACAGAGGGUGCAAGCGUUAAUCGGAAUUACUGGGCGUAAAGCGCGCGUAGGUGGUUCGUUAAGUUGGAUGUGAAAGCCCCGGGCUCAACCUGGGAACUGCAUUCAAAACUGGCGAGCUAGAGUAUGGUAGAGGGUGGUGGAAUUUCCUGUGUAGCGGUGAAAUGCGUAGAUAUAGGAGGGAACACCAGUGGCGAAGGCGACCACCUGGACUGAUACUGACACUGAGGUGCGAAAGCGUGGGGAGCAAACAGG
rnacentral:rRNA from 1 species